AAAUUGAAGAGUUUGAUCAUGGCUCAGAUUGAACGCUGGCGGCAGGCCUAACACAUGCAAGUCGAGCGGUAGCACAGAGAGCUUGCUCUUGGGUGACGAGCGGCGGACGGGUGAGUAAUGUCUGGGAAACUGCCUGAUGGAGGGGGAUAACUACUGGAAACGGUAGCUAAUACCGCAUAACGUCGCAAGACCAAAGUGGGGGACCUUCGGGCCUCAUG
rnacentral:rRNA from 1 species